rnacentral:rRNA from 1 species
GACGAACGCUGGCGGCGUGCUUAACACAUGCAAGUCGAACGGAAAGGCCCUGCUUUUGUGGGGUGCUCGAGUGGCGAACGGGUGAGUAACACGUGAGUAACCUGCCCUUGACUUUGGGAUAACUUCAGGAAACUGGGGCUAAUACCGGAUAGGAGCUCCUGCUGCAUGGUGGGGGUUGGAAGUUUCGGCGGUUGGGGAUGGACUCGCGGCUUAUCAGCUUGUUGGUGGGGUAGUGGCUUACCAAGGCUUUGACGGGUAGCCGGCCUGAGAGGGUGACCGGCCGCAUUGGGACUGAGAUACGGCCCAGACUCCUACGGGAGGCAGCAGUGGGGAAUAUUGCACAAUGGGCGGAAGCCUGAUGCAGCAACGCCGCGUGCGGGAUGACGGCCUUCGGGUUGUAAACCGCUUUCGCCUGUGACGAAGCGUGAGUGACGGUAAUGGGUAAAGAAGCACCGGCUAACUACGUG